rnacentral:rRNA from 1 species
CUGGCGGCGUGCCUAAUACAUGCAAGUUGAGCGCUGAAGGUUGGUACUUGUACCGACUGGAUGAGCAGCGAACGGGUGAGUAACGCGUGGGGAAUCUGCCUUUGAGCGGGGGACAACAUUUGGAAACGAAUGCUAAUACCGCAUAAAAACUUUAAACACAAGUUUUAAGUUUGAAAGAUGCAAUUGCAUCACUCAAAGAUGAUCCCGCGUUGUAUUAGCUAGUUGGUGAGGUAAAGGCUCACCAAGGCGAUGAUACAUAGCCGACCUGAGAGGGUGAUCGGCCACAUUGGGACUGAGACACGGCCCAAACUCCUACGGGAGGCAGCAGUAGGGAAUCUUCGGCAAUGGACGAAAGUCUGACCGAGCAACGCCGCGUGAGUGAAGAAGGUUUUCGGAUCGUAAAACUCUGUUGGUAGAGAAGAACGUUGGUGAGAGUGGAAAGCUCAUCAAGUGACGGUAACUACCCAGAAAGGGACGGCUAACUACGUGCCAGCAGCCGCGGUAAUACGUAGGUCCCGAGCGUUGUCCGGAUUUAUUGGGCGUAAAGCGAGCGCAGGUGGUUUAUUAAGUCUGGUGUAAAAGGCAGUGGCUCAACCAUUGUAUGCAUUGGAAACUGGUAGACUUGAGUGCAGGAGAGGAGAGUGGAAUUCCAUGUGUAGCGGUGAAAUGCGUAGAUAUAUGGAGGAACACCGGUGGCGAAAGCGGCUCUCUGGCCUGUAACUGACACUGAGGCUCGAAAGCGUGGGGAGCAAACAGGAUUAGAUACCCUGGUAGUCCACGCCGUAAACGAUGAGUGCUAGAUGUAGGGAGCUAUAAGUUCUAGUAUCGCAGCUAACGCAAUAAGCACUCCGCCUGGGGAGUACGACCGCAAGGUUGAAACUCAAAGGAAUUGACGGGGGCCCGCACAAGCGGUGGAGCAUGUGGUUUAAUUAGAAGCAACGCGAAGAACCUUACCAGGUCUUGACAUACUCGUGCUAUUCCUAGAGAUAGGAAGUUCCUUCGGGACACGGGAUACAGGUGGUGCAUGGUUGUCGUCAGCUCGUGUCGUGAGAUGUUGGGUUAAGUCCCGCAACGAGCGCAACCCCUAUUGUUAGUUGCCAUCAUUAAGUUGGGCACUCUAACGAGACUGCCGGUGAUAAACCGGAGGAAGGUGGGGAUGACGUCAAAUCAUCAUGCCCCUUAUGACCUGGGCUACACACGUGCUACAAUGGAUGGUACAACGAGUCGCGAGACAGUGAUGUUUAGCUAAUCUCUUAAAACCAUUCUCAGUUCGGAUUGUAGGCUGCAACUCGCCUACAUGAAGUCGGAAUCGCUAGUAAUCGCGGAUCAGCACGCCGCGGUGAAUACGUUCCCGGGCCUUGUACACACCGCCCGUCACACCACGGGAGUUGGGAGUACCCGAAGUAGGUUGCCUAACCGCAAGGAGGGCGCUUCCUAAGGUAAGACC